CUCUUCGGGGAUGAUUAACCGGCGCACGGGUGAGUAACACGUGAGUGACCUGCCUUUUAGACUGGAACAACUUACCGAAAGGUGAGCUAAUGCCGGAUGAGUUAUAUAAGUGCAUGUUUAUAUAGGAAAAGUUGGGGAGACCUGACGCUGAAAGAUGGACUCGCGUCCCAUUAGCUAGUUGGUAGGGUAAUGGCCUACCAAGGCGACGAUGGGUAGCCGGCCUGAGAGGGUGGCCGGCCACACUGGGACUGAGACACGGCCCAGACUCCUACGGGAGGCAGCAGUGGGGAAUUUUGCGCAAUGCUCGUAAGAGUGACGCAGCGACGCCGCGUGAAUGACGAAGGCCUUCGGGUCGUAAAGUUCUUUCGACAGGGAAGAAAAUGCCUAUAAGUAACUGUGUAUGUAUUGACGGUACCUGUAUAAGCAGCCCCGGCUAACUCCGUGCCAGCAGCCGCGGUAAUACGGAGGGGGCGAGCGUUGUUCGGAGUGACUGGGCGUAAAGAGCACGUAGGCGGUGUUGUAAGUCAUUAGUCAAAGACUAGAGCUCAACUUUAGUAAGGCUAGUGAUACUAUAAUACUAGAGUAUCAGAGAGGAUUGCAGAAUUCCUGGUGUAGCGGUGAAAUGCGUAGAUAUCAGGAGGAAUACCGUUAGCGAAGGCGGCAAUCUGGCUGGAAACUGGCGCUGAGGUGCGAAAGCGUGGGUAGCAAACAGGAUUAGAUACCCUGGUAGUCCACGCUGUAAACGAUGGAUGCUAGGUGUUGGGCUUUUAAGUUCAGUGCCGCAGCAAACGCGAUAAGCAUCCCGCCUGGGGAGUACGUUUGCAAGAACGAAACUCAAAGGAAUUGACGGGGGCC
rnacentral:rRNA from 1 species